GUACAUGCUCACAACAUAGUGUUAAUACACCAGAUGCCAUUAUAACUCUGUAGUUAAGCACACUUGGGCUAGAGUAGUACUGGGAUGGGUGACCUCCCAUGAAGUCCUAGUGUUUUUACA
rnacentral:rRNA from 1 species